rnacentral:rRNA from 1 species
CCUACGGGAGGCAGCAGUGAGGAAUAUUGGUCAAUGGACGAGAGUCUGAACCAGCCAAGUAGCGUGAAGGAUGACUGCCCUAUGGGUUGUAAACUUCUUUUAUAAAGGAAUAAAACGAGGCACGUGUGCCUUUUUGCAUGUACUUUAUGAAUAAGGAUCGGCUAACUCCGUGCCAGCAGCCGCGGUAAUACGGAGGAUCCGAGCGUUAUCCGGAUUUCUUGGGUUUAAAGGGAGCGUAGAUGGGUUGUUAAGUCAGUUGUGAAAGUUUGCGGCUCAACCGUAAAAUUGCAAUUGAUACUGGCAGUCUUGAGUACAGUUGAGGUAAGCGGAAUUCGUGGUGUAGCGGUGAAAUGCUUAGAUAUCACGAAGAACCCCGAUUGCGAAGGCAGCUUACUAAACUGUGACUGACAUUGAUGCUCGAAAGUGUGGGUAUCAAACAGGAUUAGAUACCCGAGUAGUA